rnacentral:rRNA from 1 species
UACGUAGGGGGCCAGCGUUGUCCGGAUUCAUUGGGCGUAAAGCGCGUGUAGGCGGCCAGGUAGGUCCGACGUGAAAACUGGAGGCUCAACCUCCAGCUGUCGUCGGAAACCCUCUGGCUAGAGUCCGGAAGAGGAGAGUGGAAUUCCUGGUGUAGCGGUGAAAUGCGCAGAUAUCAGGAAGAACGCCGAUGGCGAAGGCAGCUCUCUGGGACGGUACUGACGCUGAGACGCGAAAGCGUGGGGAGCGAACAGG